GCAGACCACGUUAGAACCUCGGCUCCUGGAGUAGCAGAACCUCGGCUUCAAUGGGACCCUCAUUUCAUAAAUGAAGAAACUGAGAUUCAAAGAGGGGAACUACCGAAGGUUACAGAGCGAGUUCGUGGGUAAGCAUGAUGGGGAAACUGAGCCUCACAUGUAUGAAUUCCAGCAUAUAAGCAACAGACUCCAGAUUUGGACAUGUAUAUCUUAUUCCAGGCUUCCCAGAUGACCACCAAGGUGGAAGGGAUGAUGAUGUCCAGGCAGAAGGGAGCUAGGCCGGCCCAGGCUUUUCCUCUAGGCACAGCGGACUCCAGGUUCAGCCUUCCCGGAUGGUAAUGUUGCAUUCUGAAGAGCUACUUUCCCGCCAACUCAUCUCUGGACUUCUCUGGGGCCCAACUCUGGUUUCCUGCCUGCAGGAGGUCCCCUCUGACUUCCGACAGUAGAUGACCCUUCUGACUCACAGUUCUACUGCUGGGAAAUGCCUCCAGAGCUGCUGCCCACCCUCUCUGCAUCCCUCCAGGUCACUGGGUGUUGAGUCAGGGGAAGCAGGGAUACACACGGGCGGGAAACUCAGGUCUCCUAAAUGUCAGAGCCUCAGGACUUCGGCUACUCAGAAGUAGCUCCCUCCUGGGCCACCAGGGAGCAGCAGGGCAGCCAGCAUCCAGACAUCCCCCCUGGGUUCUGCUGCUCAGAGGCUAGAUGGAGAACCAAGGUGGGAAAAAGGCUUAAACCACAGCGUGGGGAGAUUUAGGUUAGAUGGGUCAGAGGAAGUUUAGGACAAGCCUUGCCCUUUUCAGUUUCUGUCCAGCUUCAGCACAGCCACUGCUUCCUCUCUUUGGUUUUUACCCAUCCCCCUCUCUCCCAUCACCUCUAUCCCCUUCCAGCUUUCCUUUCCUUCCCUCCUUCCCAAACCCCAGAGUUUCUCAGGAUUAGCUGCCCGUGUGCCUAUCUCCCCCACCCCCAUGCUUUCCUCACUGUCUCACAGAAACAGGCAAACACACACACAUGCAUACAACCAUGAGCUGGCCCUGAGAGUUCUCUGACUGGACUGGGGUUGGAGCCCCAGCUCUUGUCCUGAGCUGAGGCCCUUCCCCCAGGUAUCUUGGGGCUUCCAUCAUUUCUCUUGACAGGAGCUGUGGGCGUCUGGGCAGAUGGGAACCUGGGGGAGGUGUGGGGAGCCCUCUCUGAGGCAGGAAGCUCCCACGCUACUGUAGUUAAAAUAAUCCGGCAGCAACUUGGGGCAGCCAUCUGGGAUGCCCAGAUCUUCCAGGACACCCAGCUCUCAACAACAACCCUAUAGGAACAAAUCAAAAACCUAAGAGAUACUUAUAGGCCCUGGAAAUGUCUCCCAAAAGUGGCCUGAACUUGAGCCCUGUUUCCUUUUAUCUUCUUCAGGUUAGCACUGGGCAUUGGCAUUUGCAAAAAAACUCUAAGCAUUAAGCAAAACUUGUAGGAGUGGAAGAUACAGCGUUCUGGACCUCCAGUCCUAAUACCCAGCCACACCCCAGCAGCUAUGCAUGGUUCCAUGGGAGAGCAGGCAUAGCCCAUCCUGCUGGCAUAUAGUCCAGCCAUAUCUUCCAAUGCCCACCUGGAGACUAAGCCGAGUUCUGCCCAGCAACAGGAGCUCAGAGCUCCAGAGAGCCUCUCCUGGGGUGCAGACUCAGGAGAUCUUAGCUCAGGAGCAGACUUAGCCUGACUUCCUCUUUUAUAGGAGGAGACAGACUUAGUUACAGAGGAAACCAGAGUUGUUAUAAAUAGCAAGGAAGGGAGAAACCUGCUAUGGAUUACAAACACGCCAUCAAUCUUAAAACAAACUAUUUUUAGUUUCAAAUAAUAACGAGAGUCUAAUUAAUGCUCUGUAUAACUUCAAAUGUGGGAUCUUUAUCUGCCUUUCUACUUUGUGAUGCUUUCUAAUACAGUAUUAGGGCCAAAGGCAGGAAGAGAUGUGGGCAAUUCUCAAUGUUACCAAAUCCUAGAUAUGGAAAGAACCUGAGAAAUUUAGUCCAGCCCUUUCAUUUUCAGUGAAGAAACUCAGGCCCAGAGAGGUAAAAGGACUUGUCCAAAGUUGCAUAGUAAGGUAGGGACUGAGCAGUGACUAAAAGCCUAGUCCCUGUACUCCAGAAGCAGGACAGUUUCCACAGCAGCACAAUAGAACCCAAAGGCUAAACAUCUGUGGUUGGGCAGUUGGUGAGUUUAUAGCCUGGAUAAAAGUCAGGUCUAAGCCAGGUGUGGAGGCUCACGCCUGUAAUCCCAGCACUUUGGGAGGCUAAGGCAGGUGAAUCACUUGAGGCCAGGAGUUUGAGACCAACCUGGCCAACAUGGCAAAACCUCAUCUCUACUAAAAAGUACAAAAAUUAGCCAGAUGUGACGGCACAUGCCUGUAAUCCCAGCUACUCAGGAGGCUGAGGCACGAGAAUCGGUUGAACCCGGGAGGUGGAGAUUUCAGUGAGCCGAGAUCGCACUACUGCACUUCAACCUGGGGGACAAAGCAAGACUCUGUCUCAAAAAAAAAAAAAAAAAAAAAAAAAUUCUGAAUGAAAUAGCAAAAGACAGCCCAGAAGCUGAAGUGUGGUCUUCUGAGUCACCGAGUUUUGGGUUCACAUCCCAGCUCUGCAACUGACUAGCUUUGUAACCCUGGGCCUGUGUGUAACUACUCCAAGCAUCAGCUCCCACAUCUCAAAAUGAGAAUAAUCACACUCACUUCAUUACAGGACUAUUAUGAGGUUUAAAUGAGGUAACGUGGGUCAAGCAUCCAGCACAGUGCUCAGCAAAAAAUAGAUGUUAAUUUCCUUCCCAUUUCCCUCGGAUUCUCUACCCCUUCUUCAAUGGAUUCUUAUCCUCUAACUGGACAGAAGGGCAGAUUUGUCAUAAAGCAGUCACGUGAGGGAUAAGAAGUCUCACAUGAGUGUGAAUGAGGCUGGGGGUGGGGGCGUAGUUUAUGGCAAUGAAGUUUGCAUGGCACAAGUGGUCAGUGUCAGAUCCAGAGGGCGGGAGAAGACAGAUUUGCAGAAAAUUAUCCAUCCUCUGCUAACCACUCAGUGACGGGCCUCGGGGUUCAGGGUCAGUGUUUACAGGGGAGGAGGGAGGCUGGGCAUGCUGGGUCCUCAUUGUACACAAAUACCCCGGGCCUCAACCUCACCCAUGUGCCACACUGUGCCAAGGGUGUUACAUAACAUUUCUCUUUUAAUCCUCACAACAAUCUAUGAGGCAAAUACUGUUCUCGUCCCCAUUUUGCAGAAGAGGAAAUGAGCUCAAAGGUCACUUGGCUAGUGUAUAGUCAUUAGUGCUGUCUCCAAAUAUUUCCGGCUCUCUGCCUUCUGGCACAAGGUAGGACUGCAUGUUCUCACUCUUUGAUGCUAGCUGUGGACAUGUGACCAACUUUAACCAAUAAAACGUGGCGGAACUGAUGUGCGUCAGCUCUAGUGGAAGCAUUAAGACUCUGGCACCCUCACACCUAUGUUGUUCAUAGAGUGUAAAUGAGAAAUAAACUUUUAUUGUUAAACCACUGAACUUACAAGUUGUGUGUUGCCACGGCAAGCCUGGCCUACCCUGACACAGUUAGGAAGAGGCAGAGCCAGAGUUCGGAGGCCUGGUCUGUAAAGAUGCCAGAUGGCGUAAGUACCUUCCAGAGACUGACCUGCUUGCCUAAGACACACAGGAGCCCCUUUUUGGGCUACUUAGAGCCCUGUGGGGCAGGGGAGGAGGGUAGGCAGCCUCCCUACCCUUAUCUCUUUCCCCCCGAUUUGACUGUGAUUUUGCGGGGUUUCCAGGUUGCUGAGCCGGGGGGACUGAAUAAAUGAGUGUGGUUUUGUAUGAACCCUUAGGGGCUCAUAGUCUUCUGGUUGGCUGUGCUGAGCUACUUAUCAGGACUCUCUAGGAGACACUCUGAGAAGUAAUUGGAAAAUUCCGACUUCCUCUCUGCCCAUCACCCAACUAGGAAAUAGUUGGGUAUCAGGACACGCCUGCAUUCACUCCCAAAUCAAAGAUCGACCCUGUCAAGUCACUCUUUGCUUUGGGACUCAGUAACUCCUCUGUGAAAUGGAGCCACUUCAAAGGGUUAGGGUAACUGCUCGGAGAUUCUAGAGGAAGCCCAUUUCGGAUUGUAUAGAUCUUCUCAGAGGUGCCUGCAAAAUAAGAACAGCUACUAUUUCUGAACAUUGUGCUGGGCGUUGCACUAAAUGCUUCAGAUCCAUACAGUCAUGGAAUGCUCACACAACCCAUGGAGGUAGGAACAUAAAGAAAACCAGGACACCAAGAGGGGCACAAGGUCACACUGCAAGUGGUGGGCAGGGUUCAAACUCAAGCAUGCUGCCUGCCAGUUUCGUCCUCUGCUGAAUUACAGGGACGGAAAAGGAUGAAUCUUGUCUUGGCAGCUGCUGAGCUGCCAAGAAAGUGAGCACAGCUCCCUAAGGAAUUAUGUGCUUCACGUGUCUACAUAAAGACUUGCCCAUGAAAGACCCCAGCAGCUUUGUCAUAGGCCCAAACUGGAAACACAACAAAUGUCCAUCGACAGGGGAAUGGAUUAAGAAUCUGUGGUGUAUCAUAUGGUGGGAUACUAUUUAGCAAUAAAAAGGAAUGAACUAUUGAUACAUGAUACAAUAUGGAUGAAUCCCCAAAUUAAUUAUGCUCAGUGAAAGAAGCCAGACCAAAAAGAGCACAUGCUGUACAAUUCCACUGAUAUACAAAUUCUAAAAAAUGUAAACUAUAGUGUCAGAAAGCAGAUCAUUGGUUGCCUGGCAAGGGGAGGGAACUGGGAGGGGUAGGAGGGCAUGAGGGCAUGAGGAAUGUUUUGAGGUGGUGGGUAUAUUUAUUCUUUUUUUUUUUUUUUUUUUGAGACGAGGUCUUGCUCUGUCACCUAGGCUGGAGUACAGUGGUGCGAUCAUGGUUCACUGCAGCCUUGAGCUCCCUGGGCUCAAGGGAUCCUCCCAUCUUGGACUCCUGAGUAGCUGGGACCACAGGUGUGCACUGCACCACCAUGCCUGACUCAUUUUUGUAUGUUUGUAGAGACGGUUUCACCAUGUUGCCCAGGCUGGUCUUGAACUCCUUGGCUCAAGCAAUCUGUCAGCCUCAGCCUCCCAAAGUGCUGGGAUUACAGGCGUGAGCCAUUGUGCCUGGCAUAUUUAUUGUCUUGAUGGUGGUGAUGCUUCCAUGGGUGUAUGCUAAUACAUUUGUCAGACUAAUCAAAUUACACACUUUGAAUAUGUGCAGAUUAUUAUACAUUAAUCAUAUUAAAUACCUCAAUAAAGCUGUUGAAAAGUAACUUGUCCCAACUUCUUCUUUGUUCAAACAGAGGUGCAGAGUGGUUGGUGACUUCUCCUGGGCCAUGAGGACAGUCAGUUAAAGUCCUGGCUACCUAUCCCUGAGCCCACAUAUCCUAUGGCUUCACGGAAGGUCCCACCUCCCAAGAAGGGGCUAGUGGCAGGGAAGUUGAGAAACAGAGAGACGGAAAGGUGGCAUAAAACCAAAGAGGGGGACACUGGAGAGGAGCCAGCAAGAGGCCAGGCUGGGGAUGUCAGAGAAGAGGAAAACAGAGAUGAAGCCACAGGCCUGGGGACAAGGGAAGAUGAGAGACAGGAGAUGGAACCCCUUCCCAGACCUGGUGAUGAGGAGGAGGCUCUGAGCAGUCCUAGCCAGGCCCCAGAGAAGCCAUUCCCUUCCUUUGACAGAUGCCACCUGUGUACGCCCCUGCCCGCGA
rnacentral:lncRNA from 1 species